CCUACGGGAGGCAGCAGUGAGGAAUAUUGGUCAAUGGGCGUAAGCCUGAACCAGCCAAGUCGCGUGAGGGAUGAAGGUUCUAUGGAUCGUAAACCUCUUUUAUAAGGGAAUAAAGUGCGGGACGUGUCCCGUUUUGUAUGUACAUUAUGAAUAAGGAUCGGCUAACUCCGUGCCAGCAGCCGCGGUAAUACGGAGGAUCCGAGCGUUAUCCGGAUUUAUUGGGUUUAAAGGGUGCGUAGGCGGCCUUUUAAGUCAGCGGUGAAAGUCUGUGGCUCAACCAUAGAACUGCCGUUGAAACUGGGAGGCUUGAGUAUGUUAGAGGCAGGCGGAAUGCGUGGUGUAGCGGUGAAAUGCUUAGAGAUCACGCAGAACCCCGAUGGCGAAGGCAGCCUGCCAAGCCAUGACUGACGCUGAUGCACGAAAGCGUGGGUAUCAAACAGGAUUAGAUACCCGAGUAGUC
rnacentral:rRNA from 1 species